rnacentral:lncRNA from 1 species
GCCAAAUUUUACUUCAUCUUGGUAUCUCAAUUUAACCAGUGUGACUUAACAGAAGAAUAUCACAUCAGCUAUGUCUUCUUAUCAUCCAUGCUUCUAGCAAACAGAAAUUUCAUUUUCUUGAUACAUCUGUAAAUCUUCCUUAUUUGUAAUAGAUUCAGAGUGAGCCUUAUAGAAUUGUGUAGGCUUUUUCUUCACUUUUUUUUAAACAAAAUGAUGCACAGUUGGUUAAGCCAAUUACUUUUUAUGCUUCUGUCACAGGGAGGUACCACGAAUUCCCAGCAACAGUCAAGCAGGAGGAAUUGCAGGGGGAGUUGAAAGAGGAUUGUCUCAACCAUUGUGACUGUUCAUUGAGGCAUCCCACUUGUCUAGAAACUGCAGAGGGUGAGAAGUUGCAGCAGGCACACGUCCAUCGCUG